GAUGAACGCUGGCGGCGUGCUUAACACAUGCAAGUCGAACGAAGCAUUUAAGACAGAUUCCUUCGGUUUGAAGUCUUUUAUGACUGAGUGGCGGACGGGUGAGUAACGCGUGGGUAACCUGCCUCAUACAGGGGGAUAGCAGCUGGAAACGGCUGGUAAUACCGCAUAAGCGCACAGUACCACAUGGUACAGUGUGAAAAACUCCGGUGGUAUGAGAUGGACCCGCGUCUGAUUAGCUUGUUGGCGGGGUAACGGCCCACCAAGGCGACGAUCAGUAGCCGACCUGAGAGGGUGACCGGCCACAUUGGGACUGAGACACGGCCCAGACUCCUACGGGAGGCAGCAGUGGGGAAUAUUGCACAAUGGAGGAAACUCUGAUGCAGCGACGCCGCGUGAGUGAAGAAGUAGUUCGCUAUGUAAAGCUCUAUCAGCAGGGAAGAUAGUGACGGUACCUGACUAAGAAGCUCCGGCUAAAUACGU
rnacentral:rRNA from 1 species